GAGCCAGGAGUGGGGUGUACCGGUCGAAACGUCGGUGCGGAGAACGAGGGCGUGGGGCGCCGUGGUUCCUCGCUGGUGAUGGGCUUCUGCGCCGACGUUGAGGCGUCGGGCUUCUCCUCCGGGAUGCCUCUUUUCGCCUUUUCUUCCCGAGCUUUAGAGGGGUCUCGGCGGCCUUCUUGCUCCGGUGGGCGGCCGCCUCCUCGGCGUCCGCAUACUGGUUCGCCCGAGACAGCAACUCCGGGAAGCUCCGCGGCAGGCGUUUGUCCAGGGAGAAGGUGAGUCUGCCCUUCCGGAAGCCACGCUUCAGGGCUGAGAGAGCCACCUCCUGGCUUCAGGUUCCGAACCUCCAGUGUAGCCUUGUUGAAGCGGGUGAGAUAAUCCCGCAAGCUCUCUCCCUCGUUCUGCCGGACAUCGAAGAGGGAGUCGGAGACCAGCCGUCGCCGGCUACUGACGGCGAAAUGGCUGAUGAAGAGGCGGGUGAACUGGUCGAAGGACUGGAUGG
rnacentral:lncRNA from 1 species